AAGUCGUAACAAGGUUUCCGUAGGUGAACCUGCGGAAGGAUCAUUAUUGAAUUAAUGUAGAGUUUGGUUGUAGCUGGCUCCUAAUUAAACUUGGGGGCAUGUGCACACCUUUCUCUUUCAUCCCAUACACACCUGUGCACCUGUGAGACAGAUGUUUUGUGGGGGGGAAGGAACUUUAUUGGACCUUCUACUCCCCCUUGACUUCUGUCUACUUAAUUCAUAUAAACUCAAUUUAUUUUAAAACGGAUGUAAUGGAUGUAACACAUCUAAUACUAAGUUUCAACAACGGAUCUCUUGGCUCUC
rnacentral:misc_RNA from 1 species